rnacentral:tRNA from 1 species
GCGGUUAGCUCAGCGGUAGAGCGCCUGCCUUACAAGCAGGAUGUCACUGGUUCAAGUCCAGUACUGCCCA